UGACACUUUGCAACUUAUAUAACGAGUAAAACGUCCCCAACAACAGAGAGGCAUCGAGGUGAUUCAAUCGUCCUACAAAUGGAUCUUCUAUGGCUAGAUGUUAAUGUCAGAGUUCGUGGCAAGUCGAUAGGUCGGAGGAGUUGGCUGGGACAACAACGCGAGAUAUUCUGCACAGGUUCCCGGGUCUUUUACUUCCCCUCCCUUCUCCGAAUCGGAUUCAAACUGUGUACUGGCCGAACUCCAAGAUUUAGCGAACCACGACCACCAGAGAUCAAAUAACCCUGGGUGCAUCGACUGUUCGUUUCCCGUGCCUUCGCGUACACAAAUGGAAUCCCCAUUUACGAAGAUCAGGGUCGUGCUGAAGAAAGUUAUACAAGCAUCUUCGAUCAUGCAUGACAAGGAAUGAGGAAAUUCUAAUCAGGUAACAAAGUUUAAACUUGAACGUGCUAUAUGUGCCUGGAACUUCCGGAAUAAGGUUUCACGAGGCGAAACAUAUCCGAAGUGAAUACUCUUGGCGAUAACCAAUUCCAGUUUGACGAUGGGGCUAAGGUGAUUGGAAAUCACUCAUCAUUAAGUACACCGCUGUUCACCAAGGAGAUCUCGGAUCGAGUUCGGUCAAAUAGUUGUCAUAUCGGUGAUGGUCCCGACUCCUUAAGCGAGAGUGGCGGACAGAAGUGAAUCGUCUGGUAAUAAAAGGGUGUCAGAACUGCCGGACACUACGAGAACGGUCGGUCCAAAAUCCUGUGAUUUUACAUGUUGAAGGAUCUCCGAAUAUCUCGGUACCCCGAGCCGGGACGGGGGUGCUGGUUAAUUCGUCGACCCGGGUGCUCUUUACUCUUGUGGAGGCGAACGCGUACAGUAGUUAGGAAGAGAUGAGUGAGCAGGGGAGUAAGACCGUGCACUCGUCUGACUCGUCGCAGGGCAGGGGGUGAAACGCCUCGACAAUGCUCUAAUCAAAUGUCAUGAAUCAGCGACGGUAUUAUGCGCAUCUGCGGUAUGAAUUUGUAAAUAUGGCUCCAGGCGAAUCGAGUAUAUACUCGAGGAAGACGCCCUAGCCGCGACUUCUCGUUUUCCAGAUGUACAUAUAGAGUCAAGACGAGGAAUAUAGAGCUGUGCAUCCAGUCAUAUUUACAAAGUAGCAACGCUAAAGCAGAGAAGCUUUUUGAGUGCAAAAAGUGGCGUCUCUCACUUUUUCAGUUGCGAAUUUGCCGUUAUAACAAAAAAGCGAAUGAAAGAAACACGCAUAUAUAUCCAUGGCGAAUCCCGUACUCUGAAUGGUACUCGCGUAUAAAGUAUAUUUUAUUCGACCACACAUAAUCUCUCCAACAGAGAAAAUACGAGUUGCGAGAGUUGCCAGGCUACGCGUAUAUAUACCUACCACAGAGAUCGUCCGGGUGGUUCACAAACUUUUAACUCCGGCUAUAUGCAGCUUCUGCUGCGCGUCUCGCGCUUCUCUCUAUACAACCUUUUUUCCCUGAGCAUUAGUCCGCGCGUUUUAACGGUCCGGAGAGUUGUUCGUCUCUCUGAGCACUGCAUUCACAUAUAUGCAUACACCGCAUGUAUAUAUGAAGCACAAUACUGCAUAGAACAAAUGGAUAAAACCGCGGUAUUAUGUAAGACAGAUAUCGAUAUAGUCUCUCUUUGUUAUAAUCACCUUUUUCCAUCUCGAUUCUUUAAAUUUGUAUAUUGAAGAAUAAUCCAAAUCCUUUUACGCGUGUAUUAGAAUAAAUUUUACUUCAAAUUAUUGCACGGAUACUCAUUUCAUUUUGUAUCCGUGCUCAUCUAUUUUUGGCAGAAGUUCAGUCAGUAGAAAUCUGAUUGCACGUAUUCUUUCGGCUCAACAGAAUAUAUGAGGAAGAUGCAAGUUACGCGUUGUUCUCUUUUCAUCGGAGAAAAAUGUAUAAUCAACAUUUUUUCUCGAAAUGACAAGCAUCCGUGAGAAAAAGAUGAAUCUGCUCAUCAGUUGUCUUUCUCUCUCUCUCUCUCUUUCUCUGCAUGGACCUCACGCAAUUAGUAGAGCUCUCAAAGGUAAUUCCAGCAUCGGCGAAUGUAUCAUGGUAUUUGUUUGUUUGUUACAUUGAAGUUAUUGUCGUGGAAAAAGAUAAAAUAAUUUGGCGUAAUUACUAAAGUUCGCAGUGCGAUCGUUGGAAAUCAUUCGGUUUUAUUUCUGAAUAUAUACACGUAAAUGUGGAUACCGCAAUACAAACUGUGCAUGCGGAUGUGCA